UACGUAGGGACCAAGCGUUGUCCGGAUUUAUUGGGCGUAAAGAGCUCGUAGGCGGCCCUCCACGUCGGAUGUGAAAGCUCAGGGCUCAACCCUGGGAUGCCAUUCGAUACGGGAAGGCUAGAGGUAGGUAGGGGAAAGUGGAAUUCCUGGUGUAGCGGUGAAAUGCGCAGAUAUCAGGAGGAACACCGAUGGCGAAGGCAGGUCUCUGGGCAUUAACUGACGCUGAGGAGCGAAAGCAUGGGGAGCGAACAGG
rnacentral:rRNA from 1 species